AUGCCGACGCCAGAGCCAGACCACGCCUUCGCAGCUGGCAUCCUCCUCCUCGCCGUCUUGGUUGUUGUGGGCGCCGGCCAUGCUGCAACGGAGUCCGAGGCUGAUGCGCUCCUGGCCUGGAAGGCCAGCCUCGACGAGCCAACCCCCACCACUAUGAGCUCCUGGAACAAGACCGCGCCAGUCUGCUCCUGGCUCGGCGUGUCAUGCAAUGCCGCUGGCCUCGUCGAAUCGCUCAGGCUCCGGGGGCUAGACCUUGGCGGAACGCUCAACGAGCUCAACGCCACAGCACUUCCGGCACUCACCACGCUCGACCUCAAUGGGAACAACUUCGUCGGCGCCAUCCCGGCAAGCCUUUCAAGGCUGCGCUCCCUCGCUGAGCUCGACCUCGGCAGCAACGGCUUCAAUGGCUCCAUCCCGCCGCAGCUGGGCGGCCUCUCUAGCCUCGUUGGCCUGCGUCUUUACAACAAUAACCUCGUCGGAGACAUCCCGCACCAGCUCACCAUGCUCCCUAGGAUCGUGCAUUUCGACCUGGGCGCCAACUUCCUCACCAACCCGAAGGACUACCUCAGGUUCUCACCGAUGCCCACCGUCACCUUCAUGUCACUCUACCUCAACUACCUCACCGGCAGCUUCCCGGAGUUUAUCCUCGAGAGCAGUGACGUCACCUACCUCGACCUGUCGCAGAACAAUGUCUCCGGACCGAUACCGUACUCACUGCCAGAGAAGCUUCCCAACCUCAAGUACCUCAACUUGUCCGUCAAUGCCUUCUCCGGCCAGAUACCGGCGUCUCUGUCCAAGCUGGGGAAUCUCCAGGACCUGCGGAUUGUAGCCAAUAACCUGACAGGUGGCAUCCCUGAUUUCCUUGGGUCCAUGUCCCAGCUGAGAGUUCUCGAACUUGGCAGCAACCUACUUGGCGGGGCGAUCCCAUCGGUUCUUGGCCAGCUCCAAAUGCUGCAACGCCUUGACCUGAAGAGCAACGGGUUGGUUUCCACCAUUCCACCACAACUAGGCAACCUUGGCAAUCUCAGUUUCAUGGACCUCUCCAUGAACCAGCUCACCGGUGUCAUGCCACCCGCGUUUGCCGGGAUGCACAAAAUGCGGGAGUUUGGCAUGUCGUCAAACAAACUCACUGGUCAGAUUCCGCCAUCUCUGUUCACGAGUUGGCCGGAGCUCAUAGUGUUCACAGCGUUUGGAAACUCGUUCACUGGGAAGAUCCCAUCGGAGCUCGGCAAGGCAACCAAGCUAGAUAUCUUGUAUCUCUUCAGCAACAACCUAACCGGCUCUAUCCCAGUAGAGCUUGGCGAGUUGGUGAGCCUGAGUCAGCUGGACUUGUCCGUGAACUGGCUCACCGGUCCGAUUCCCAGCUCGUUGGGUAAACUGACACGGCUCAGGAGGCUGGCCCUCUUCUUCAACCUGCUCACCGGAACGAUCCCACCAGAGAUCGGCAACAUGACUGCGUUGGAAGUCUUGGACGUCAACACCAACCAUUUGGAAGGCGAGCUGCCCACCACCAUCACAUCACUCAGGAAUCUCCAAUACCUCGCCCUGUUCGACAACAACUUCAGCGGCCCUGUACCGCCAGACCUUGGGAAGGGGCUGAGCUUGACAGACGCGAGCUUUGCGAACAACAGCUUCUCUGGUGAACUACCACAAAUGUUGUGUGACGGCCUUAUGCUACAGAGCUUCACAGCAAACCACAACAACUUCAGCGGCCAGCUGCCGCCGUGCCUCAAGAACUGCACAGUCCUAGUCCGUGUGAGAUUGGACCAGAACCAAUUCACCGGCGACAUCUCCGAGGUGUUCGGUGUCCAUCCCAGCUUGGACUUCUUGGAUGUCUCGGGGAAUCAGCUGACAGGCCAGCUGUCCCAUGAUUGGUCACAGUGCACCUAUCUAACAAUUCUAUCCAUUAACAACAAUCACCUCUCUGGAAACAUCCCUGCAGCCUUGUGCGGACUGACCUCCCUCCAGUUACUGGAUCUAUCAAAUAACCACUUCAUUGGUGAGCUCCCAAGUUGCUGGUGGAAACUAAAAGCACUGGUAUUUAUGGAUGUGUCCAGCAAUAUAUUUUGGGGUAAAUUUCCUGCCUCAACGAGCUUGGACGAAUUCCCCCUCCAAUCACUUCAUCUUGGUAACAAUAGUUUUUCUGGGGAUUUCCCAUCUGUCAUUGAGACCUGUUGUAGAAAGCUCAUCACACUAGAUCUUGGGAACAACAUGUUCUUCGGUUCUAUUCCUACUUGGAUUGGAGCAAGUGUCCCUCUUCUAAGAGUUCUGAGCCUCCCAUCCAACAGUUUCAGUGGUGUCGUUCCGUCUGAGAUAUCCCAACUGUCUAAUCUGCAAGUACUUGACAUGUCCAACAAUAACUUUACUGGAUUCAUCCCAGGUACAUUCCGCAACUUAUUGUCCAUGAUGAAACAAAUGUCCCCUUGGACAGUAGAAUCUUCUGAAAGGCAUGAUGUUGUCCAACUGAGCCGGAUUUCCAUAUUUUCUCGGAGGACCGAGCCCCCCAAUAACCGGUCACCACUGAAUGAGUACCGAGACAGAGUUAAUAUUUUCUGGAAGGGCCGCGAGCAAACUUUUCAAAAAACAAUCGAGCUAAUGACAGGCAUCGAUUUAUCAAGCAAUCUACUUGCCGGGGAUAUUCCAGAGGAGCUAACAUACCUUCAAGGUCUCCGAUUCUUGAACUUAUCCAGAAAUCAUCUAUCAGGCAAUAUUCCAGCAAGCAUUGGCAGUUUAGAGCUCCUGGAGUUCCUUGACCUCUCAUGGAAUGAACUAUCAGGUGCUAUCCCUCCCAGCAUCUCAAAUUUGCCCUACCUCGGCAUGUUAAAUCUCUCCAACAACCACUUAACGGGCACCAUACCCACCGGGAGUCAGCUACAGACACUUGUAGACCCAUCGAUUUAUGGCAACAAUCUGGGGCUUUGUGGCUUCCCGUUGAGCACACAUUGUUUGGAUGAAAGAAGUCAAGACCACAGACGACCUGGAAGUGAUGUGGGAUUGUGUUACUCUGUAAUUCUCGGUGUUGUUUUUGGCUUUUGGCUUUGGUUUGGAGCUCUGUUUUUCCUUGAGCCAUGGAGAGUUUCCUUCUCCCAUUUUCUUGAUAAGUUGUGCAGUAAGUAA
rnacentral:rRNA from 1 species